rnacentral:rRNA from 1 species
UACGAGUACCCCAAGCGUUAUCCGGAAUCAUUGGGCGUAAAGGGUGUGUAGGCGGUAUGGUUAGUCUUCUGUUAAAAUUCUGGGCUUAACCCAGAACUUGCAGUGGAAACGGCCAAACUAGAGGAUGCGAGAGGUGAAUGGAACUCAUGGAGUAGGGGUGAAAUCCGUUGAUAUCAUGGGGAACACCAAAAGCGAAGGCAAUUCACUGGCGCAUUUCUGACGCUGAAACACGAAAGCGUGGGUAGCGAACGGG